AGGUGAUGGGCUUCCACAUGUGUCAGAGUGACCCCCCAAAAAAAUGGACACGGAGUGGAGAAGACCAGCGAGGCGGUCAUUGGAGAAAUCAAGCAUUUCAAGUGGUUUCAUCGUGAAGCAUGACAUCAAGGCAAGUUGUUGUGGAUUGUUGUUCCAGCACUCAGUGACCAGUAAUAAUCCUCUGCAUUAGCAUGAAUUGUCCCUGGUGUUCACAGAGUGGCAGUACAACAUCAUCAAUCAGCACUUUGCCGACUGCUCAGACGGGCUCCCUCCGGAGGACACUCUCACUCCCUGCUGAACGAGCAUCUCUUCUCUCUCACCUGUCUGUCUGUUGAGGUGGACAUUCACAAUCCUGCAACACUAUCAGGAAAAGAGAAAGGAGGUUCUCCACUGCAGAGUCCUGGCCAACAAUUCCCCAAGUAAAAUUGUGGCUGUUUGUGGGUUGGUCUCCCAGUCCUGCUGUCUUUUUAUUCAGCCCUCAUCAGGACGUGAACUGCCAAGUUCCUCUCCAUCUCAUUCCAUCCCUUUGUUUCAGAUGAUCUUUUAUGUGAAAGUUUGAGUGUUUGAUUUUACACAACAGUAGGCACACAUUCUGGUUGAUAGCACACAUUCUGGUUGAUAACUGGCACAGAUUGUACAACUCAACACAAGCAAAUAAACUUUAUCACAAGUAAUUCUAAUAAGA